UCAAACGGGGUGCAGCAGGCGCGAAACCUCUGCAAUAGGCGAAAGCUUGACAGGGUUACUCUGAAUGAUGUCCGCUAAGGGCAUCUUUUGGCACUCCUAAAAAUAGUGUAGAAUAAGGGGUGGGCAAGUCUGGUGUCAGCCGCCGCGGUAAUACCAGCACCCCGAGUGGUCGGGACGAUUAUUGGGCCUAAAGCAUCCGUAGCCGGUUCUGCAAGUCUUCCGUUAAAUCCACCUGCUCAACAGAUGGGCUGCGGAGGAUACUACAGGGCUAGGAGGCGGGAGAGGCAAGCGGUACUCAGUGGGUAGGGGUAAAAUCCUCUGAUCCACUGAAGACCACCAGUGGCGAAGGCGGUCUACCAGAACACGUUCGACGGCGAGGGAUGAAAGCUGGGGGAGCAAACCGGAUUAGAUACCCGGGUAGUCCCAGCUGUAAACUAUGCAAACUCAGUGAUGCAUUGGCUUGUGGCCAAUGCAGUGCUGCAGGGAAGCCGUUAAGUUUGCCGCCUGGGAAGUACGUACGCAAGUAUGAAACUUAAAGGAAUUGGCGGGGGAGCACAAGGGUU
rnacentral:rRNA from 1 species